UACGUAGGGACCGAGCGUUGUCCGGAAUCAUUGGGCGUAAAGAGCGUGUAGGCGGCCAUUUAAGUCCUGCGUGAAAUCUUGCGGCUCAACCGCAAGCGGUCGUGGGAAACUGGGUGGCUAGAGUGCGGGAGAGGAGAGUGGAAUUCCUGGUGUAGCGGUGAAAUGCGCAGAUAUCAGGAAGAACACCCGUGGCUAAGGCGGCUCUCUAGUACGGUACUGACGCUGAGACGCGAAAGCGUGGGGAGCGAACAGG
rnacentral:rRNA from 1 species